UAGGGAAUAUUGGACAAUGGGGGCAACCUUGAUCCAGCCAUGCCGCGUGAGUGAAGAAGGCCCUCGGGUUGUAAAGCUCUUUUGUCCGGAAAGAAAAGCAUUCGGUGAAUACCCGGAUGUUCUGACGGUACCGGAAGAAUAAGCACCGGCUAACUUCGUGCCAGCAGCCGCGGUAAUACGAAGGGUGCAAGCGUUACUCGGAUUUACUGGGCGUAAAGCGUGCGUAGGUGGUUUUUUAAGUCUGAUGUGAAAGCCCUGGGCUCAACCUGGGAAUGGCAUUGGAAACUGGGCAGCUAGAGUGCGGUAGAGGGUAGUGGAAUUCCCGGUGUAGCAGUGAAAUGCGUAGAGAUCGGGAGGAACAUCUGUGGCGAAGGCGACUGCCUGGACCAGCACUGACACUGAGGCACGAAAGCGUGGGGAGCAAACA
rnacentral:rRNA from 1 species